rnacentral:lncRNA from 1 species
GUUACAUUCACGCUGUUGCAGGAGUACAGGUCGGUGGUGUUACACACAUUCAUGCUGUUGCAGGCGUGCAGGUCGGUGGUGUUACACACAUUCACACUGUUGCAGGCGUGCAGGUCGGUGGUGUUACAUUCAUGCUGUUGCAGGCGUGCAGGUCAGUGGUGUUACACACAUUCACGCUGUUGCAGGCAUGCAGGUCGGUGGUGUUACACACAUUCACGCUUUUGCAGGCGUGCAGGUCGGUGGUCUUACAUUCAUACUGUUGCAGGCGUGCAGGUCGGUGGUGUUACAUUCACACUGUUGCAGGCGUGCAGGUUGGUGUUACACACAUUCACACUUGCAGGCGUGCAGGUCGGUGGUGUUACACACAUGCUGUUGCAGGCGUGCAGGUCGGUGGUGUUACAUUCACACUGUUGCAGGCGUGCAGGUCGGUGGUACACACAUUCACACUGUUGCAGGCGUGCAGGUCGGUGGUGUUACACACAUUCAUGGUGUUGCAGGCGUGCAGGUCGGUGUUACACACAUGCUGUUGCAGGCGUGCAGGUCGGUGGUACAUUCAUGCUGUUGCAGGCGUGCAGGUCGGUGGUGUUACACAUUUUCACGCUGUUGCAGACGUGCAGGUCAGUGGUGUUACAUUCAUGCUGUUGCAGGCGUGCAGGUCGGUGGUGUUACAUUCACGCUGGUGCAGGCAUGCAGGUCGGUGGUGUUACACACAACGCUGUUGCAGGCGUGCAGGUCAGUGGUACACACAUUCACGCUAUUGCAGGCGUGCAGGCCGGUGGUGUUACAUUCACGCUGUUGCAGGCGUGCAGGUUGGUGUUACACACAUUCACACUUGCAGGCGUGCGGGUCGGUGGUGUUACACACAUUCAUGCUGUUGCAGGCGUGCAGGUCGGUGUUACACACAUUCACACUUGCAGGCGUGCAGGUCGGUGGUGUUACACACAUUCACACUGUUGCAGGCGUGCAGGUCCGUGGUGUUACACACAUGCUGUUGCAGGCGUGCAGGUCGGUGGUGUUACAUUCACACUGUUGCAGGUGUGCAGGUUGGUGUUACACACAUUCACACUGUUGCAGGCUUGCAGGUCGGUGGUGUUACACACAUUCACACUUGCAGGCGUGCAGGUCAGUGGUGUUACACACAUUCAUGCUGUUGCAGGCAUGCAGGUCGGUAGUGUUACACAUUCAUGCUGUUGCAGGCGUGCAGGUCGGUGGUGUUGCACAUUCAUGCUGUUGCAGGCAUGCAGGUCGGUGGUGUUACAUUCACGCUGUUGCAGGAGUACAGGUCAGUGGUGUUACACACAUUCAUGCUGUUGUGCAGCUAUCACUUCCAUCUCCAGAGCCCUUUUCAUCUUAAAACUGAAGCUCUCCCAUCACACAGUGACCCUUCAUGUCCCUCCCCAGUCCCUGAAAAACACUGUUCAGGUUUUUCUUCCUGGACCUCAUUGUGUGGAGUUCCUCGUGUGAG